rnacentral:rRNA from 1 species
UACGAAGGGGGCUAGCGUUGCUCGGAAUCACUGGGCGUAAAGGGCGCGUAGGCGGCCAUUCAAGUCAGGGGUGAAAGCCUGUGGCUCAACCACAGAAUUGCCUUUGAUACUGUUUGGCUAGAGACCGGAAGAGGUAAGUGGAACUGCGAGUGUAGAGGUGAAAUUCGUAGAUAUUCGCAAGAACACCAGUGGCGAAGGCGGCUUGACUGGUC